rnacentral:rRNA from 1 species
ACUGCUCAGUAACACGUGGAUAACCUACCCAAGAGUCCGGGAUAACCCCGGGAAACUGGGGAUAAUACCGGAUAGAUCGAACAGGCUGGAAGGCGGUUUGGUUGAAACUUCCGGGGCUUUUGGAUGGGUCUGCGGCUGAUUAGGUUGUUGCCGGUGUAAUGUACCGUCAAGCCUGUAAUCAGUACGGGUUGUGGGAGCAAGAGCCCGGAGAUGGAUUCUGAGACACGAAUCCAGGCCCUACGGGGCGCAGCAGGCGCGAAAACUCUACAAUGCAGGCAACUGCGAUAGGGGAACAUCGAGUGAUCCUCAUAUUGGGGGUCUGUCCACUCGCCUAAAAAGCGGGUGUUAGCAAGGGCCGGGCAAGACCGGUGCCAGCCGCCGCGGUAAUACCGGCGGCUCGAGUGGUGGCCGAUAUUAUUGAGUCUAAAGGGUCCGUAGCCGGCUUUGCAAGUCUCUCGGGAAAUCCAGCGGCUUAACCGUUGGUCGUCCGGGGGGUACUACAUUGCUUGGGACUGGGAGAGGUAGGAGGUACUCAGGGGGUAGGAGUGAAAUCCUGUAAUCCUUUGGGGACCACCGGUGGCGAAGGCGUCCUACCAGAACAGGUCCGACGGUGAGGGACGAAAGCUAGGGGCACGAACCGGAUUAGAUACCCGGGUAGUCCUAGCCGUAAACGAUGCUCGCUAGGUGUCACAACAGUCGUGAACUGUUGUGGUGCCGUAGGGAAGCCGUGAAGCGAGCCACUUGGGAAGUACGACCGCAAGGUUGAAACUUAAAGGAAUUGGCGGGGGAGCA